AAAAGUGUGUAGUAAUACUUCGUUGUAGUUUUAAUUCUGACAACUAAGUUUUAAUUAUUUCUUACAGUUACUAAGAAAUUGUUAUUGGUCGGGCACAGUGGCUCACGCCUAUAAUCCCAGCA